UACGUAGGGGGCUAGCGUUGUCCGGAAUCAUUGGGCGUAAAGCGCGUGUAGGCGGUCCGGUAAGUCCGCUGUGAAAGUCGGGGGCUCAACCCUCGAAUGCCGGUGGAUACUGUCGGGCUAGAGUGCGGAAGAGGCGAGUGGAAUUCCUGGGUGAUAGCGGUGAAAUGCGCAGAUAUCAGGAAGAACACCCGUGGCGAAGGCGGCUCCUCUGG
rnacentral:rRNA from 1 species